rnacentral:lncRNA from 12 species
GAAAGUGCCUACUGCAGUCUCACAGCUUCAGGCAAUGCAUGGUUCAAGGGAAGUCCACAGUGAUCGUCAUCUUCUUUGCUGCCUUGAAAGGUGUUCAUGGCCCACAGUGGGAGCAGUGACUGGAACAGGCAGAGGGGCAGGACUGGGGUGAAGAGUGAAGAAAAGCCUGGGUGAGGGUGUAAAA